rnacentral:rRNA from 1 species
UUGAACGCUGGCGGCAGGCCUAACACAUGCAAGUCGAACGGUAACAGGAAGCAGCUUGCUGCUUUGCUGACGAGUGGCGGACGGGUGAGUAAUGUCUGGGAAACUGCCUGAUGGAGGGGGAUAACUACUGGAAACGGUAGCUAAUACCGCAUAACGUCGCAAGACCAAAGGGGGGGACCUUCGGGCCUCUUGCCAUCGGAUGUGCCCAGAUGGGAUUAGCUAGUAGGUGGGGUAACGGCUCACCUAGGCGACGAUCCCUAGCUGGUCUGAGAGGAUGACCAGCCACACUGGAACUGAGACACGGUCCAGACUCCUACGGGAGGCAGCAGUGGGGAAUAUUGCACAAUGGGCGCAAGCCUGAUGCAGCCAUGCCGCGUGUAUGAAGAAGGCCUUCGGGUUGUAAAGUACUUUCAGCGGGGAGGAAGGGAGUAAAGUUAAUACCUUUGCUCAUUGACGUUACCCGCAGAAGAAGCACCGGCUAACUCCGUG